AGUGAACGCUGGCGGUAGGCCUAACACAUGCAAGUCGAACGGCAGCACAGUAAGAGCUUGCUCUUACGGGUGGCGAGUGGCGGACGGGUGAGGAAUACAUCGGAAUCUACUUUUUCGUGGGGGAUAACGUAGGGAAACUUACGCUAAUACCGCAUAUGACCUACGGGUGAAAGCAGGGGAUCUUCGGACCUUGCGCGAUUGAAUGAGCCGAUGUCGGAUUAGCUAGUUGGCGGGGUAAAGGCCCACCAAGGCGACGAUCCGUAGCUGGUCUGAGAGGAUGAUCAGCCACACUGGAACUGAGACACGGUCCAGACUCCUACGGGAGGCAGCAGUGGGGAAUAUUGGACAAUGGGCGCAAGCCUGAUCCAGCCAUACCGCGUGGGUGAAGAAGGCCUUCGGGUUGUAAAGCCCUCUUGUUGGGAAAGAAAAGCAGCAGGUUAAUACCCCGCUGUUCUGACGGUACCCAAAGAAUAAGCACCGGCUAACUUCGUG
rnacentral:rRNA from 1 species